GACGAACGCUGGCGGCGUGCUUAACACAUGCAAGUCGAGCGGUAAGGCCCUUUCGGGGGUACACGAGCGGCGAACGGGUGAGUAACACGUGGGUGACCUGCCCUCAGCUCUGGGAUAAGCCUGGGAAACCGGGUCUAAUACCGGAUAUGACUCCAUGACGCAUGUUGUGGGGUGAAAGCCUUGUGCGGCUGAGGAUGGGCCCGCGGCCUAUCAGCUUGUUGGUGGGGUGAUGGCCUACCAAGGCGACGACGGGUAGCCGGACCUGAGAGGGCGACCGGCCACACUGGGACUGAGACACGG
rnacentral:rRNA from 1 species